UACGGGGGGGGGCAAGCGUUGUUCGGAAUUACUGGGCGUAAAGGGCUCGUAGGCGGCCAACUAAGUCAGACGUGAAAUCCCUAGGCUCAACCUAGGAACUGCACUCGAAACUACCAUUCUUGAGUGUCGGAGAGGAAAGCGGAAUUCCUGGUGUAGAGGUGAAAUUCGUAGAUAUCAGGAGGAACACCAGUGGCGAAGGCGGCUUUCUGGACGAUAACUGACGCUGAGACGCGAAAGCGUGGGGAGCAAACAGG
rnacentral:rRNA from 1 species